rnacentral:lncRNA from 1 species
UGCUGGGAUUACAGGUGUGAGCCACUGCGCCCGGCCUGGGGAAUCCCAUUCUUAUGAUGUGAUCACCCAGUGUCCCUGUGUCAGACCUCUGGUGCCAAGAGAGACCUUAGAGAUCACCUGAUCCCACGCCUUCAUUUUACAGAUGGAGGAACUGAGGCUCAGGGAGGUGAUUUUUUCCAAGGUCACCUGCCUAGGCUUCCUGGAGCCAGCUCUGUGCUCUUCUAAAACCACCACUUACUUUCCAAUGGAGGGAGGUGACGUGUCGAGCACCUCUCACCUCUAUUAGCCAGCCUGGUGUCUCCUGAAAAGCAGCGAGCAUGUGCAUGUGUGCACUGAUAAUAUGUACCCCUGCAAGUCAGAGAGGGCACGUGCACACCUACGCGUCUUUGCAAACUGCUGGACAUCAUCUGCUGCAGAUGCAGAGGUCCUGCUCUGUGACCCACACUCUGAGCUCUAAGGAGAAGGAAACACACCCACACCCACACCCUUGAGAACUCACCACAGGGAAGAGUCCACGGAGGCAGACCCAGAACGGAGUGCAGAGAGCAAUGGGAACCGCCUGGGAAUUGUUCUCAAUUGUGUCCUCACGCCCACACACUGACCUCCCGGGGCUCUGCAGCCAGGCUCCCUGUGCCUUCCUCGCCCCGGGGAGAGUCUGAACUCCCAGAAUGCGUGUGUGUGCAUCCCCUGCCCCUGCAGAAGACUCUCAACGGAUCCAGCUAAGUCACCAGCCCAAACGCAAGCCCAAGUCUUGGCGUGACAGGGGCAUUCAGCACUCACAGUUUAUCUGUGGAGAAGAAUCCCAGGCACUGGGUUUCAGAAUCAAGGGCACUAGUGCGGAGGAAGUCUCCAUCAGCCCUCACCUGACUCCUGGCGCUGUGGGUCCCUGAGGGCCCCAGGCAGCUCACCAAUUCUCUGCUUCCCAUGGAUGCUUGUGGUUACUGGCUGACCUCAGUGUCUCUCCCCAGGAUAACAGGACUAGGGGAGUCUCCCUUCACAGUUUGAAAGCACCUUAGUUCCUCCUACUGUCUCAAACCUCUCCAUGGGCGCUGGCAGACCUGCUAUGAUUUUCAUCCUACAGAUGAGGCCCCAGAGGCUUGAGGGUGAAUGGUGCUCAAGGGUGAGGUCUCUCUGAGGCUGGUGCCCUCCCCACACCCGGGGCACUGCCUGACAGCUAUCCCCCAAGACCCCACUCCCUUCAGCCACUGGGACUUCCCUCCCAAUGCAGGCCGUGUGUGCCCUGCUCCUGUGCAGCGGCAGGACAGGUUUCCAAAAACCAACGGCAAAGUUUCCUGAAAGGCUCUGGCUUCCAGGACUCUUGGCAGGGCUCUGCCCAGGAAGCAAUGAGCUGGCACUUUCCUGGCUGUGUGCUUAUAGCUGACCCUGGCCUCAGAGGCCUUCCUCUCCUUAUCAGGAAAGGAUGCCAAGGAGGAGGGAGGAGGCUCUGGGGAGAGUCCAGGCCUUUGUGUGAACCAUCCUAAGGGAAGUGGAUGCUUCUGAGCAGCCCUGCCCGGCUCUGGGCCUUGCCCGCCCUCAUCUUCAGCAGGGCUUUGGCACUGGAAAGAAUGAGCUUCAGCUCCUGAGCCUUGCAGGAGUCAGAGGUCAGCAGAUUCCAGGGCUCAGCCUUUCCGCCUCAGUCAGAAACUCUCAGCAGACCAAAGGCCUGGGCUACAGUCCACUGAGAGUUUUUGACCAAGGCAGAAAUUCUUCUCCACAGAUAAACUGUGAGAUAAACUGGGUGGGGACAUCAGCAGCCUCCUCUCUGACGGGCAAAGUUCUUGGGGCCUGCCAUGUGACCACCCAGCCUGGACUCCCUGCCAACACACACACAAAACAAGGCCCCUGCUAGACCCCAGUGCCUGGGCCCAGCUACUGGGCUGGCUUCUCUGCUGGUGUCCAAGGCUCACAGAUUCCUGUUCUGCUUUCCCUCCAGACAUCCUCUCUGGUCUUCCUGGUCUACCCUCAGGCACACAGGCCUCUCCUCCCCUUAUGCCUCUGUCAGCUCUCUCCUCUGCCUGGACCGCUCUCCCCUCAUCCCUCAGCCCCAGCUCUCCCCUCAAUCCCUGGGAUGCCUGUAUGGACCUCCCGGAGGGCUGGUCCCUCUGUCCCACGCCCUGGACUUCUCUGCAGCACUCCUCAUGGCCACCGUGACUCUCUUGGGGGUGAUCCGUUGACUCACUCCGGCUGCAGGAGGGCUGGGACAGUGCCUGCUGCCUGUGUGCUGGCCAGACACAGUGGGAGUGCCCGCCCAUGCUUACUGGGGAAGCAGAGACAAUGGAAUGUUUUAGCAGGAUUGGGGUCUUCAGAAGGUACUUCCAUGAGGUCCUGCAUACAGCUGGGGUAGGAGGAGGCAGUUUAGGGCCUGGACGAUGUGGGGCUGACAUGAGAGAACAGGCCAGGGUAGGGUGCUGGGCAGGUGGGUCAGAGGGGCAGUCGUCCGCCUGGUACACAAUGUCUUAUAUAUGUUUGCAGGGGUGAAAAGAGACCUGUUCAGGGGCAGUGCCCAGUGAGGAGACCCUCAAACGAGAGGCAGAGUCCCUCAAGCCUUUGUACAAUGCCACCAAGGGUGCUGCCCCUUCUUCAACAGAACGUCCUCCUUGCAGGGAGGCUGCAGUGAUGUCAGAGAUGAAUCACAGGCCAGAGGUGAGAGCUGGAGAAAGGGAAACUCUCCCAGUCCCUGGGAGUGGUCAUUACAGACUGGGAAAUCGCUCUCCAGCUGAUGGUAAAGGACUGCAAAUCCUAUUCAUGUGACUCAGGGCCUGGUGUGCCUUCUGGGAAGAAAGCAGAAGAGGGUUCCUAACUGUAGAAGGGAAAAGUUUCCCUUUAUUCUUCCAGCCACGUGGUUCAAUAAGCAUGUACAAGCUCUUACCAGGGCCAGGCACUGUGCGGGCACCAGAAACAUUAAGAUGGAAUGACACAGGUCUGCCCUGGAAGAAACAUUAAGAUGGAAUGACACAGGUCUGCCCUGGAAGGGCUCCUUUCCAGGGCUCAGGGACUCUGUGACUCCUUUUGGGGAGCAGAGUUGUGGACAAGAGUGCAUUUUUCUAGAGAGAUGGUCCACAAGCCAUCCAGAGCCAGGCUCUGUCUCCAGGUACCCUUGAUCCUUGGAGACCUCCCUCAGGUCCUGGCUUUCUUUUUGGAUUCAGGAUUUCCCUGUGUUCCCCAGGCUGGAGGGCAGUGGCUUACUGCCGCCUCCACCUCCUGGGCUCA